rfam:Solanum tuberosum cultivar DM 1-3 516 R44 scf00534_16, whole genome shotgun sequence.
AGGAGGUCGGAAUUUUUAAUGAAUUACAAUAAAAACCGACCUCCUGA